CCACCUGACAGUCUCGGCGUCCGUUUCCACAGGAAGCUCAGCUACCACAGUCUUUUGGUCUUGUCGCUUUUUGGUCUCUACAAAUGUAGGACGUUUGUCAGCGUAAGCCAUUAUUGACAGGCUACAUCAUAAUAUUCAUUUGUCCUGGACGGCUGAAUAAGUGACAGUAAUAGACCGAGGCCCAGAGGAAGAAGAUGAAGACAUGCUAUCAAGAGCAGCUGUGACACGGCAGCUGGUCUGACAGUGUGUAUGUGGUCUGAAUACACAUCUUUUCAUCUAAGCUUUAGAAAAUCGUCAAGGCUCUACAUCUGAUCUGAGUUCAGCAGUACUGAAUCAGUUCAUUCAUGGUGCAUCCAGAAGUACAGCAGACCCCUGCUGGGCCCGCAUCACGCCGACUCCUGGACGACACACUGAGAUCCUGCAUGGUGGUGGAGUGAUCCAGAGGCUCUGCUGGUGGGCUUGUGUGCUGGCGGGGGUCUGGAUGCCCUCUCACGCUCUCAGGGGUGUCCCGCUCCCUCCACUGCUCAUCUUCAACAGCCGGAGACCCUCUCUGGUGCACAACGAGGUCUCUAUCCAGCCAGUUUUGGAGAUUCCCUGAAAAAUGACAUGAGAGGAUGAGAAAAGAUGCAUUAACCCUCAUCUUGGGUUCUAAUCAGCUUUUAUUAUUGUUUUGGAUCAGUGGAGUAACAUCUAGCACUGAAAUUGUGGGUCAACUGUUAUCAUAAUGAUAACCAAAACUGUAUCGCACAUUCCACAAUAAUAAACAAUGUCAAAGCA
rnacentral:lncRNA from 1 species